rnacentral:rRNA from 1 species
UACGUAGGGUGCAAGCGUUGUCCGGAAUACUGGGCGUAAAGCGCGUGUAGGCGGCUUGGCAAGUUGGAUGUGAAAGCCCACGGCUCAACCGUGGAAGAGCAUCCAAAAACUGCUUCGCUCGAGUCUCGGAGAGGAAGGUGGAAUGCUUGGUGUAGAGGUGAAAUUCGUAGAUAUCAAGCAGAACACCUGCGGCGAAGGCGGCCUUCUGGACGAUGACUGACGCUGAGACGCGAAAGCGUGGGGAGCAAACAGG